UUUGGUUAAGUUAGAAAGGGCGCACGGUGGAUGCCUUGACACUAGGAGUCGAUGAAGGACGGGACUAACGCCGAUAUGCUUCGGGGAGCUGUAAGUAAGCUUUGAUCCGAAGAUUUCCGAAUGGGGAAACCCACCAUACGUAAUGGUAUGGUAUCCUUAUCUGAAUACAUAGGGUAAGGAAGACAGACCCAGGGAACUGAAACAUCUAAGUACCUGGAGGAAGAGAAAGCAAAUGCGAUUUCCUGAGUAGCGGCGAGCGAAACGGAACAUAGCCCAAACCAAGAGGCUGCCUCUUGGGGUUGUAGGACAUUCUAUACGGAGUUACAAAGGAACGAGGUAGACGAAGCGACCUGGAAAGGUCCGUCGUAGAGGGUAACAACCCCGUAGUCGAAACUUCGUUCUCUCUUGAAUGUAUCCUGAGUACGGCGGAACACGUGAAAUUCCGUCGGAAUCUGGGAGGACCAUCUCCCAAGGCUAAAUACUCCCUAGUGAUCGAUAGUGAACCAGUACCGUGAGGGAAAGGUGAAAAGCACCCCGGAAGGGGAGUGAAAGAGAUCCUGAAACCGUGUGCCUACAAAUAGUCAAGAGCCCGUUAACGGGUGAUGG
rnacentral:rRNA from 1 species